rnacentral:misc_RNA from 1 species
GAUGAAGAACGUAGCGAAAUGCGAUAAGUAAUGUGAAUUGCAGAAUUCAGUGAAUCAUCGAAUCUUUGAACGCACAUUGCGCCCGCCAGUAUUCUGGCGGGCAUGCCUGUCUGAGCGUCAUUUCAACCCUCAUGCCCCUAGGGCGUGGUGUUGGGAAUCGGCCAAAGCCCGCGAGGGACGGCCGGCCCCUAAAUCUAGUGGCGGACCCGUCGUGGCCUCCUCUGCGAAGUAGUGAUAUUCCGCAUCGGAGAGCGAUGAGCCCCUGCCGUUAAACCCCCAACUUUCCAAGGUUGACCUCAGAUCAGGUAGGAAUACCCGCUGAACUUAAGCAUAUCAAUAAGCGGAGGA